CGCUAGACAUCAAUGAGAAGAACCCCACUGAUUCGGGAGGAAAUCGGAAAACUGAAAAAGUCCAGUUUCCAUUUAGAUCUGGGGUGCUGUGAUUUUCUCCCCCAGGGCUCUCAGCCUCGUAUCCGGGAUCAUCCUGUCCCUGGAGCAGGGAGCCCGGCACUCAGGGCAGCUGGGUCCCCAGGCCGAGAUCCCGCGCCAGUGAGCCACGAGGCAGCCCUGGCAGAAGUUGUGGCCGCACUCGAUCGAAAUGGGAUCAUCCAAGACAUCCAGGCAGAUGGAGCAGGUGAUGUCCUCCCGGAGUCGCUGCAUCUCUCCAGACCCGCUGAGUGGGGGGAACCUACUGGGUCAGGACCUGGCACCCGGAGCAGUAGGGCUCUGCUGCAGGACGGCUGAUCUCUAGCCCAGGUGUGACCCUUCCUGGCAGCAGGAGUCUGGGGAGGAGCGGGAGAACAUGGGAAUAUUUCUGUGAACAAGCUGCGUGACUCAG